UGAUGAUCGGGAUGCAAAAUGAGGAGGAGAGGGGUGGCCACUGGUUUUGAUGUGAAUUUGACUUUGGACGACGCUUAUAUGCGUCGUUUUAGGCCGGAAUAUAAGACGACGCUAAUAAGCGUCGUCUAUUCCUAAGAUUUCCCGACGCUUAAUCAAAGCGUCGGCAAAUAUUUGGGCAGUGAACUUUUUUCCGACGCUUUCUCCUAGCGUCGCUAGAAAAGCGUCGGGAAAAGACUACUUUCCUGU
rnacentral:lncRNA from 1 species